rnacentral:rRNA from 1 species
AACGAACGCUGGCGGCAGGCCUAACACAUGCAAGUCGAACGCUCGUAGCAAUACGAGAGUGGCAGACGGGUGAGUAACACGUGGGAACCUUCCCUAUGGUUCGGAAUAGCCCAGGGAAACUUGGGGUAAUACCGGAUAAGCCCUUCGGGGAAGGAUUUAUCGCCAUUGGAUGGGCCCGCGUCGGAUUAGCUAGUUGGUGGGGUAACGGCCUACCAAGGCGACGAUCCGUAGCUGGUCUGAGAGGAUGAUCAGCCACAC